AACGCGAAGAACCUUACCAGGUCUUGACAUCUAGUGCAAUCUGUAGAGAUACGGAGUUCCCUUCGGGGACGCUAAGACAGGUGGUGCAUGGCUGUCGUCAGCUCGUGUCGUGAGAUGUUGGGUUAAGUCCCGCAACGAGCGCAACCCUUGUUAUUAGUUGCCAGCAUUAAGUUGGGCACUCUAAUGAGACUGCCGGUGACAAACCGGAGGAAGGUGGGGAUGACGUCAAGUCAUCAUGCCCCUUAUGACCUGGGCUACACACGUGCUACAAUGGGCAGUACAACGAGAAGCAAGCCUGCGAAGGCAAGCGAAUCUCUGAAAGCUGUUCUCAGUUCGGACUGCAGUCUGCAACUCGACUGCACGAAGCUGGAAUCGCUAGUAAUCGCGGAUCAGCACGCCGCGGUGAAUACGUUCCCGGGCCUUGUACACACCG
rnacentral:rRNA from 1 species